AGUGAACGCUGGCGGUAGGCCUAACACAUGCAAGUCUAACGGCAGCACAGGAGAGCUUGCUCUCUGGGUGGCGAGUGGCGGACGGGUGAGGAAUACAUCGGAAUCUACUCUGUCGUGGGGGAUAACGUAGGGAAACUUACGCUAAUACCGCAUACGACCUACGGGUGAAAGCAGGGGACCUUCGGGCCUUGCGCGAUUGAAUGAGCCGAUGUCGGAUUAGCUAGUUGGCGGGGUAAAGGCCCACCAAGGCGACGAUCCGUAGCUAGUCUGAGAGGAUGAUCAGCCACACUGGAACUGAGACACGGUCCAGACUCCUACGGGAGGCAGCAGUGGGGAAUAUUGGACAAUGGGCGCAAGCCUGAUCCAGCCUUACCGCGUGGGUGAAGAAGGCCUUCGGGUUGUAAAGCCCUUUUGUUGGGAAAGAAAUCCAGCUGGCUAAUACCCGGUUGGGAUGACGGUACCCAAAGAAUAAGCACCGGCUAACUUCGUGCCAGCCGCCGCCGUAA
rnacentral:rRNA from 1 species